UGGGCUUUGGCGUAGUUUCCAAAUUUCACGGCCAUCGAGCCCGACAAUUUCAAAUUUAUGUUCAACAUCUCGAUUCUCUGUAAUCCACUCUUCCACUCUAUCUUCCAUCUUUGUAAUCCCCCUCCUAAUCAAUGAUGCUUUUUAUACCUUCUGGCUGGUUUCGUUCCAAUUUCCGUUCAUCCUCCUCUUAUAUAAAUGGCUUCGUCUAAACCUAAAUCCUAUCAAAAUCGAAACCUAGCAGUAAGAGCAACUGAAACCCCUAAUCGUAGAGCGCCUUUCUGAUCGAUGAGCAGCCUCUGAGAAAUAAUAUUAAACGAUGGAGAUAACUACAAUCUAUAGCGUGGAAUUGGAAGAGGAUACUUUUGGAGAAAUCUCAGGGCAUCAAGGAGCUGCCACUCGGCUAAGAGAUGGGUCCACUGGACUCACGUUAUUUACUUGGAAAGUAAUCUUUAUCUCUCCCUCUCUUGAGUUUUAGUUUGUCUCAUUCUCCUGGUUUCUUUGUCCAGUUACGGACGAUUCAAAAAUUCACUGUGAGCUAAUCAUAUAGAGACUCAACACCGAAAGAUACACCUCUAAUUUGAUGUUGCUUUGUUUUAAUCCCCAGUCUUGAAUUUUGCACUACCUUUCCUUUUAAAAAUAAAUAUCUUCUUAGUUUAACUACAAGUGAAUUAAUAUAAUUACAAAGAUUAAGUGAUUGUGAAUAUAUGGCUAAUAUAUAUAAUGAUGUGUUUUCCUGUGAAACUGUUUGGUGUCACUUUGUCCCAAUGAUAGGAAAGAUUCAACGGCACUUUUCCACUUUUAUCUUCUAGGUCCCUGAAUCUACAAUCACACUUUGAUGAUCUAAUUAUCGUACUGCAAAAUUGAAUUAUUCUACCUUUGAUUUGGUUCGUAUAUGUUGUGUUAUGUUCCAUGGGUUUCUAUGCUUGAACGCGCAUUCUAUCAAUCAUAUUGACUUAUUUUCCUGUCUGAGAAUAUUUUUCUACAUUAUUUUUCUUAUGGAUUUGCUUCCUACUUCUUCAAAGAGGAGUAUAUUUUAAGUGGCUCACGAUAUCAAAAAAACUCCUUCGGGAAAUGUUACAGCUAUUGCCAAUGUUAAAUUUCAGCUAAUGAUUGGUACCCGGUUAAAGUAAGAGUGACUUUGUUUUCUUUCCUUCUCCAGAGUCUCACAAGGUUUGGGAUUUUAUUGCAUCUGAUCAUUAUUGCUGUGAGAAAUGGGUAUAGGGAGAUGAAAGUAUCAUCAAAGAUAUCAGAGGGCACAUGAAGGAGAAUAACAUAUUUGGAUUGAGAGUGAUGAUAUUUUGCGGACAGACCAAAUUCAGCAUCAAGUCAACGUUCAUGAGAGAGAGAGGCAUACAAAGCAGCUAAAAAAUAUUGACCAAGGUGAUGAAGCUGUUGAACCAGACAAGGUUUCCUAUGGACUAAUGAAAAAGAAAGAGAAUGACGAUGUGGAUGUCAAAUUUGGUAAAGGCUGGCUGCUUCUUUACAGGUAUAUAGAAAUAUUAGCCCUGUUCUUUUACCAUUCGUGGCGUCAGCGGUAGCGAUAGAGCAAAACGACGGUGACUGAAUUGAAUAAUAAAGCAAAACGACGUUGACUGAGCUAUUUAUUGCCGCUGGGUAACGAAGCAGCAGAUUUUUUUUGCAAACAGAGGUUCUCACUGAAAAUAUUAGCGUCCAUGAAAGACGUCACGGACAACACCUGCGAUCACUUCCAGCGAUUAUUUAUGUUUCCACCAUGCUACUUUUCUCUCAACUAAAGUUACUUUUUCUUGCUGCUGUCGCUACCGCAGCUAUUCCUUAACGAGCAGGGCUAUUAUAUAUUGUACAAUCCUUCAGAUUCAAUCGUGUUUCAGUUAUGAACAAUACAGCAAAGUGAGUCUGCAUGUAAUAUUCUUUGGGAAUUUAUGUGUGACUCAUAAAAUGUAGUUGACACAUCAAAACA